UACGUAGGUGGCAAGCGUUGUCCGGAUUUAUUGGGCGUAAAGCGCGCGCAGGUGGUGCGGUAAGUCUGCCGUGAAAUCUCCCGGCUCAACUGGGAGGGGGCGGUGGAGACUGCCGGACUGGAGGGACCUAGAGGCCGGUGGAAUUCCCGGUGGAGUGGUGAAAUGCGUAGAGAUCGGGAGGAACACCAGUGGCGAAGGCGGCCAGCUGGGGGUGCCCUGACGCUGAGGCGCGAAAGCGUGGGGAGCGAACAGG
rnacentral:rRNA from 1 species